rnacentral:sRNA from 1 species
CUUCACUGAAGUAUAGCCAAUUGCAGAGGUAUUACUGCGACAAUGCGUCUGUGAUGCAAACGACGCUUCCUCACCUGCAUAACUGUAAUGCCCUAUUGACACAAGCCGAUUGAUGAUUCUUUUUGGACCGUCGAGUACCCAGAAGCGGCAAAGACAUAUAACUACAGGUAAUUUUUCAACACACCGCUACAAUAUAACGUUAAAUACUAGUAUCCAUCUUCAAAUUUUCUUGAUUUCGAUGCUUCCACCUGUAUCCCUUUGCCAAAAAGUAAUCCGCCAGAUCAAAUAUUCCAUCUACAGAGUUAUGUCACCACGUUCCAACUGAUGUAGAACUGUACACUAUACCUACUCUGCACUGUCCUGUACGACGUGUUACAUUACAUAGUAUAUACAGCCGCGUUGGGGGGUGGUGGUGAACGGGGACGUGAUAUCACCAUUGUACAGUACAUACAACGCAUCAUACGUCGAGUUUACUGUUCCAUCCCUCAGAUCAAUCAAGGGAGGGGAGGUCAGCAGCUCCGCACCCCGCUCUGUCCUGCCCCCGUUUAUUUAACAGUUCGUGCGUUGGGCUCUGUUAUUGGUAACCCCCGUCAGGAUUCCCUCCCCACUCACUUCCCCACUAUCCCCCGUAUAUAAUAAUAUCCUUCCUUUAAACACAGCGAACCGAGAUCCGCUUGUCAGCCAGAUCUUGAUCUUCGGUUGUCUCGCAAGCUGGGAGGAGGCGGACGGGUUGGAUGGCUGAGAGUGGAAGGGAUAUAUAGAUACUGCAUUCUUGUUUUCAAGGGGUGGCAGAUGGAGUGCAUAUUACCGCGUGUGUCUGAAACAUAGUUAGGGGUAAAAGGAGUGUUAGAUUAUAGCGGAUUUUACGCAGCAACGAGUGACCUUUUUGUUUCCCUGGUUUAUGUAAUGUAUGCUCUUUGAAUUGGGGGAACGAAAAUGAGCCUCUGUUCCAAGAUAAAAAAGCACAGCGAAAAUAGGAAAAAAUUACGAAUUGGGAACACUGGAGGGGAAAAAGGUAAACAAAGUAAGAGAGGGACGGGGGAAAAUGUAGAAGAACCGUGAGAAUACAAUAUAAAUAUAUAAAUGAGGAUGAAUUAAAUACAAAGUUUCUUCUCAACUAGGGCUUGGAUUCUCACAGACGUCGUUGAAAAGAUGAUACAGGGUUAAAUAAACACGAUAGAACUCAGGAUAGAGACAGGGAUCUGAAAAAAGAAGAAUUGGGUUUAAAAGGAGGAGGAAAGGAGUCGGCGUACAAGGCUGCUUUUUUCACCUUACAUUUCCUUCUUCUCCACCCCUCUCUUUUGGCAAUGUUUUGAUGUUUGUGAAGAAAAAGAGAAGCAUUUAGAGAAUACAGCCACAUAAGAAACGUACAGUUGAAGGAGAGAGAAUAAAACCAGAUAGAAUAUGCGACUCAGAUAAAACGUUGCAUGGUAAUAUGACAAAAAGUGAGAAGAGAAAGUUAUGGGAGACGAUGGGAUGAAAGUUGUACAAAAACUGACAGGGUGGGAGACAAAAAAACCAACCUAGCAAGAGGAAGCAGCGCCGGAAAAGAACAAGGGGAAAAAAUAAAGAUCUCAAGGACAAGGAUGAAGGAAAACGACAUAUACUAGAUGUCUACAAGAAACAUGACCCAAACGCCAUUAGCCACCGGAAGUAGGGGAAUCGGGUGCAGCACACCAGAAAGUGAGAUAUAAACAGAAAUGGAAAGUGAAAAGGGAAAUAGAGAGCGGUGGUUGUUCGAGCGCUGAUAUAAUAUAGAUACGGAAAACGGAUACUUAUGUGUAUGAAUGUAUAUGUUGACUUUUCAUGGUCAUUGGAUUGUAUGCAGUUUUGUUUAUACGAACUUGGCUUGGGAGUUUCAUCAAGGAUCCCAGUCCGAAUCUAAUGGAUGGCCUUUGCUGUUGAGGGUCUCGAUUAGAUUUGGAGGAAACAAAGAUGUGGUUGUUGGUUUUGAUGCUGAUGUGGGUGGCUGAGAUUUUAUCGGUGCCCUCGGCUCUCUUACCGCUUGAAAGUCGGAGCUGCUUGUAUCACUGGCACUCACACUUCCGGCUCGUCUGGAGUCAUUUUUUCGAUCCUUUUUGCGACUGGAGACUGUCGUCCACUCGCUUUCACUCAGUAUAAUACGUAUCUGCUCUUCCUCGGAAGGUAAGUUGUUGGCCCAGCUCUCAAAAUAAGGAGACGCCUUGAUGCUCUCAGGCGUAGCAGAAGGACUGGAGGUGGGUUGAGGCGUCGAGUCGAAAGUGUCUAGAAGAGGUGAGGACGAUGGAGCGGGUGCAGAUUUUGGCAGCCCAUUUGGUUGGCUGCUGAUGGCACUUGUUUGCCAUGCAUUGGUGGCUGGAGUGGGCUUAGAUUUAGCAGCCUCGCGGCGUUCAAGUUCUCGGGCCGUGUGGAGGUGUUUCUCAAGUUGAAUACGACGCUCUCUUUCCGAUUCUUCUACCAUCACCUUUCUAUUUUCAUUCUUAAGCCUUCGUUGGCGUUGUUUCUUUGUCUCUCCCACAUUUUCCGACUUUUGCUUUUUCAUUGUUGUCUGUUCAUUUACUUGAGGGAUAUUAACAAGGCGGAGUGGAGGUAUGACUGCUGGGGCAGGCGCUAGCAUAUCGGAGACGCUGCCUGCCACUGGCACAGUUGGGUUAACAACCGGUGAGUUUGCAGAAGAGAGGUCAUCGUCCGCAUCUUCCUCCGUGCUGGAUGAUGUGCGAGUGAACAACUCUGUCACAUCCUUGUUGUCCGGCACAACAGUACUUCUAACGAUAGUUUUGGUGCGGACUUCGUUCUUAUUAGCUUUGCCAUCCGCAGAUGGAAGCUUGGUGCCUUCUUUCGCCUUGGUGAAUUGCUUGGCAAACUCCUUGUUGUUCAUUCCCUCAUCACCUGCCCAAUUUUCAGUAGAGGAAACCACCUUUUGGAUCUCUGGAACCUCCACGAUAGGCUUGGCAGGCGGGGCACGACUGCCAUUGCUGGUGGUGCUCUCUGGCGAUCGCUUUACUUUCCGCUUCGCCUUUUUGGUGAGAAACCCGUUUUCGUGUUUCUCAGCGGCAGGUUUGAAAGGCGUAAUUUUUACGUUGGGCGGGGAUCUAAGUCUAUAAUACCAAAAGACACCACCACUGACGAAGAGCAUAAUAGCCCAGUUCAAAAAGGGAUUCAUAGUCGGUUUUGUUGCGUGAGCAAAGAGAAGAUUGAGAAGAGGCUAUUAAGUUGGUUUCUUCAACGGCUUUUGAUGCGUUGAAGAACGGGGUCCUGUGCUCAAUGGACAAAUGGGAGACUGGAUUCUUUGGUGGCGAGAUUCGGUUUAGAUGGAUCAAAGUACCACUAUGAUAGCAACUGUCAAGGCGUGGUAGGUUCGGAAAAGUGGAAUUCCGACAGGGGAGAGAGAGAUGUCCUAAUUUGUGGCGAAAAGGGGGAUUCAAACUCGGGAUGGAGGCUGGUUGUGGCAGUGUAUCUGUAUCGGUAGGGAUGGAUAGCGAUGAACGGAUUUCCCUUGAGUGAUUCGAGCGGUGAUAUGUCGGGAUUUGAUGCGAGCAGAUGUGGGAAGGAUAAGAGAGAAGAGAAGACGAUACGGGGAGAGAGGCCGAUGGUUACUCCUACUAGAGAAACCUGACUGGCGUCAUAUUUCGGGAGAGAUGGAGUUCGAGGGAGCGAAGUUAGGGAGCGAGUGGGGAGCGUGGAGGAGAGGCAAAUCAGAACCUUAGAAGGAUGUGAGGAGAGGUUGGAUCAACAGGGCCGGUGAGAAGUGAGAUGGAAAAGAUAAAGGAGCGACAGCUGGAAG